ACCCGGAGACUGCACAAGGUUAUCAAACCUUCAACAUGGCUGUGAGAGACACCAGAGGGGCUCACGUUGACUAUGCACCGAUGCAUGAUGAAAUGGGCAGAGAGUUGCUUCUGUGCGUCAACGAUGCCAAUGUUGCACUGAGUCAUCCACCUGGUGGUGCAUUAUCUGAGAGGACUCUUAGGAGCACGAUGGAGAAGUUCAAGAAGCGGUUUCAUAAGAUGGCAGCAAUGCUUUCUUGCCAUGGUGCUCAGUCCAGUGAC